UACGGCGGCCGCGAGCGUUACCCGGAUUUACUGGGCGUAAGGGGCGUGUAGGCGGUCUGGGGCGUCCCAUGUGAAAGGCCACGGCUCAACCGUGGAGGAGCGUGGGAUACGCUCAGGCUAGACGGUGGGAGAGGGUGGUGGAAUUCCCGGAGUAGCGGUGAAAUGCGCAGAUACCGGGAGGAACGACGAUGGCGAAGGCAGCCACUUGGCUCACUGGUGACCAUGAGGCGGGAAAGCGUGGGGAGCAAACAGG
rnacentral:rRNA from 1 species